rnacentral:rRNA from 1 species
AUGAACGCUGGCGGCGUGCCUAAUACAUGCAAGUCGAGCGAACAGACGAGGAGCUUGCUCCUCUGACGUUAGCGGCGGACGGGUGAGUAACACGUGGAUAACCUACCUAUAAGACUGGGAUGACUUCGGGAAACCGGAGCUAAUACCGGAUAAUAUAUUGAACCGCAUGGUUCAAUAGUGAAAGACGGUUUUGCUGUCACUUAUAGAUGGAUCCGCGCCGCAUUAGCUAGUUGGUAAGGUAACGGCUUACCAAGGCAACGAUGCGUAGCCGACCUGAGAGGGUGAUCGGCCACACUGGAACUGAGACACGGUCCAGACUCCUACGGGAGGCAGCAGUAGGGAAUCUUCCGCAAUGGGCGAAAGCCUGACGGAGCAACGCCGCGUGAGUGAUGAAGGUCUUCGGAUCGUAAAACUCUGUUAUUAGGGAAGAACAAAUGUGUAAGUAACUAUGCACGUCUUGACGGUACCUAAUCAGAAAGCCACGGCUAACUACGUG